AACGAACGCUGGCGGCAUGCCUAACACAUGCAAGUCGAACGAGACCUUCGGGUCUAGUGGCGCACGGGUGCGUAACGCGUGGGAACCUGCCCUUAGGUUCGGAAUAACUCCCCGAAAGGGGUGCUAAUACCGGAUAAUGUCUUCGGACCAAAGAUUUAUCGCCUUUGGAUGGGCCCGCGUUGGAUUAGCUAGUUGGUAGGGUAAAAGCCUACCAAGGCGACGAUCCAUAGCUGGUCUGAGAGGAUGAUCAGCCACACUGGGACUGAGACACGGCCCAGACUCCGCGGGGAGGCAGCGGGGGGGAUUAUUGAAAAAGGGGCGAAGCCCUGAUCCAGCAAUGCCCGGGGAGUGAGAAGGCCGUUAGGGUUGAAAAGCUUUUUUCCCCGGGAUAAUAAUGACAGUCCCGGAAAAAAAGCCCCCGGCUAACCCCGUC
rnacentral:rRNA from 1 species